rnacentral:lncRNA from 1 species
UGGGAUUUCGUGUUUGGUUCAUAUCUUUGAGGAUUUGGUUCAGAUUUGGAUAACCAAUUUAAAUUAUUUUAAAAAAAUUUAAAUUUAUUGUAUGCUUUAAUUUUUAAAUAAUUUAUGAAAAAUCGAAUAUAUUACAUAUAAAUUUGAAUAACAUAUGUUAGAGUACCUAACUUAACAUAUAAAUUGGUUUGGUUUAAAUAUUUGGAUAGAGAAUUUAUAAGUAUUUUUGGAGUUUUGAGUAUAUUUUAAC